rnacentral:rRNA from 1 species
UACGUAGGGGGCAAGCGUUGUCCGGAUUUAUUGGGCGUAAAGAGCGUGUAGGCGGCCAGACAAGUCUGCUGUGAAAACUCGAGGCUCAACCUCGAGCUGUCGGUGGAAACUGUCUGGCUAGAGUCCGGAAGGGGAGAGUGGAAUUCCUGGUGUAGCGGUGAAAUGCGCAGAUAUCAGGAAGAACACCUAUGGCGAAGGCAGCUCUCUGGGACGGUACUGACGCUGAGACGCGAAAGCGUGGGGAGCGAACAGG